CAACACCCAAAAUCAAAAUAAAUAAAAUCCAAAAAAUAUAUUAAACUGUCCAUGACCCAUUACAUAUCAAGCCCAAUUGACCCAAUUACAACCAAACCAAGCCCCAAACCCUAAACAGCCUAAUGGAGCCCAAAACUAAAAUUUUUUUCAUAAACCCUAGGGUUCCCUCCUUCUUUUGUGUCGUUGCCUCUUUUUGGGUCACCCGAGGUGCCUCGUCCUGAGGUUUGCCUCCUCCUUCUGGCCCUUGCACCAAAAUGGCAAGGUCACCUCCGUUGACCUUGCCUAACCCUACAAAACCAAGCAAAAAGGGAUGACAGAAACACAGAGAAAAGAAAAAGAAUCUCUGUAAUCAACUAUAAAGCCAAAAGAUGUAAUUUUUUAAUACAGAGACAAUCGAAUACUCAGAGAAUUCAAAAUCAAUAGAAAAAUCCCGAAAGGUUUACAUUUAUUGCCUUUUUAAAUUUUCGUCUCAUUUUUUUGUCUACUGUUAUUUAUUUUUAUCAUAUUAACACAUACAAAAGUAAAAUAAAAGGAAAAAGGGAGUAAAAACUUACCUGUAUUCGGAUUUUCAAUGCUGAAGAAGGCCGAGGAAGUCACCUCCGAUGAUAGGCGGUCAGAAAUCGAAGGGUUUCUUGGGCUUUUGGGGCAUUUUUGUUAAUAUUUCAAGGGUUUUGAACCCAGAUUUGGGUUUAGAAAGGUCGAAAAGACUAGGUAGGAGAUUUUCUACCUUUUCUGGCCACCGCAGACGGCGGUGCCGUCGCUGGAGAUCGACAGCCGAUGCAGUGGCCGAUGGUUUGGAUGUUGCCCGGACUCUAGGGAGAACUUACUGAGGGGAGAGGAUUUUUCUGAGAGGUUUUGUUUUGUUUUUUUUAAG
rnacentral:lncRNA from 1 species